CCUACGGGUGGCUGCAGUGAGGAAUAUUGGUCAAUGGACGAAAGUCUGAACCAGCCAAGUAGCGUGAAGGAUGAAUGCUCUAUGGGUUGUAAACUUCUUUUAUAUGGGAAUAAAAUGUUCCACGUGUGGGAUUUUGUAUGUACCUUAUGAAUAAGGAUCGGCUAACUCCGUGCCAGCAGCCGCGGUAAUACGGAGGAUCCGAGCGUUAUCCGGAUUUAUUGGGUUUAAAGGGAGCGUAGGUGGAGUUUUAAGUCAGUUGUGAAAGUUUGCGGCUCAACCGUAAAAUUGCCGUUGAAACUGGGAGGCUUGAGUACAGUUGAGGUAGGCGGAAUGCGUGGUGUAGCGGUGAAAUGCUUAGAUAUCACGAAGAACUCCGAUUGCGAAGGCAGUUCAC
rnacentral:rRNA from 1 species